CAUAAAAAGAAUAGAUAUAACUUUGUAUAUAUCACUAUGUUGCAGAUAAACCUCCAAAUAAACAGGCAUGCAAUUAUUGUUUCACCUUUUCUUUGGGGAUUAAUGAAAGCCUAGUUUACAGUUAUUGCAGAUCUAUUAUCUGCAGCAACUGCAAGCCCUCUCCUUCCUGUCCAGCGCUUACAUACAUUAUCCGAUCCAAGCUUGUCAUUAGAGUCCAAAGUAAAAAUAAUUACUUAGAUGUUACUGAGUGGUGAAAACCCUAAUUGCAGGAAAGCGGCCUGCGAUUACGAGGCCAAGCUAAUUCCCUCUUGUCAAGCAGAUUGAUGGAGGAGACCCUCUGGACUGUCAGCGUGAUAGUGUUCUCUUGAAAUCAUCACUUUGAUAAUAUGACACAAUGAGGACCUCCUAAUAAUCACUGAAGAACUUCACUGAAGUGCUUUACGGGUUGUGAAGUGUCUCUUUAACCCCUUAAGGACCAAACGUCUGGAAUAAAAGGGAAUCAUGACAUGUCACACAUGUCAUGUGUCCUUAAAGGGUUAAAUACAGAAUUUCAGUUGUUAAUAAAUGUAUUUCACAAACUCCAAAAUGUUUUUACUUUCAUGAAAAGAAGUUAAACUUGAAUUAAUAUACACGCGAAUGUCAUCUCCACUCUCCACUUUACAGUCCAGUGCUGUGUUAGAAGGUGUAUUUUAAGAAUAUAAAUAGCUACACCUUGAGAAUGCAGUUUGUUAUGGAGUCUUUGUACUACAUAGUUAUAUCUGUGAAUAAUGAAAUUUACGCUGAAAAUAAUCAUCGGAUUCAGCUAUUUUAGUCUUAAUCUUGAUUGGUUGAAAAAUAACCGCAAGUCACUGUUUAGUUAAUAGAAACCUGCACUAGAUACAGUUAGAAAACAAUAAGCAUUGUAGAACUUUAUUUUUAAGACAUAAGAAACUGGAUUUUGGCCGUAUUUAUUUAAUUGUAUGCUCUGAAUUGUCAUGUUUUGGGAUACCUGCUUUACUUAUGUAAACAAAUAUAAAAUGGAUAAUAAUGUGUUUGUCUUACUUGUAAGUGAACAGUAGGUGGCGCAUAGAUUUAUUUGAUUUGUGUAUAAAGAUAACUGUAACUUUCUUAUACCUGCCUGUUCCUGGAGCGCCGGGCAGCGUCUCUUAGAAGAUCUUGCUGAUCACCCUGACAUGUCGAACCAUCUAAAGCCUGAAUUGCAGCAUUGUAGCAAUUCCUAUCACAUUUAGCCAGCCCAGAAGUUGAUCGUAAUGGCUGGCUGGGCAUUAUGGGAGAUGGGCCAGAGCCAGUAUUAGGCAACAGCCAUUGUUGUAUUCUGUUUGUUUACCUGUGUGGUGCUAGAAGGGAUAAACUGAUGAUUUUAAACAAAGAUUGUUAUUUUUCUUUUUUUAUAAAACCAUUUUUUUUUUUUACAGUUUAAUGAAUUAACAAUCUCCUAUUUUAGCAAAAUAAAAAAAAUUCCAC